GAACAUUUGCUCCAUUAUCAGAUACCGGACGCCAGAUCUUGCAGUCUCUUGUUAGUGCUUCUGCUUCCAGUGGAGGUGGGGGAUGUCAGCCCUGGGAACAGCGUGUUCUUGAAAUAAAUGUCCUUUUAGAGGGAAGUGUCUGAGCCAGAGCAGUCAGGAAAAAGUGGGUCAGUGCUUGCCUUUUUUUUUUUUUUUUUUUUUAAACAAGUGCACUCAUAUCCAGAGCUUGGUUUGGGCACAAAGCCAAGUAAGCUUGGACUUCCCAAGCUCCCGUCUGCGCCCACGUUCCAGACAGAGACCACAGAGAAAUGGCCUUGCACAUCCAUUCAGGAGAGCGGGGCCCGGGGCCACCCCAGGACCGGAUGAGGACCAGCCCCUCCUCCCCAGGGAAAGGGAGUUCGCAGAGUCCAUUUGUUUUCUUUGCUGCCAUCACAAACUUCUACAAAGUUAGAGGCUGACAACGGCACAAUGUAUAACCCUGCAGUUCCGUAAUGGGGGCCAGUGGAGAAUCCCUUUUCUGUGCUCAUUUGCAUUGUCUGCAGAAUGCAGAUCCUUGCAGUAUGGGACUGAGGUGUUGUCACCUUGCUGGGGUCAGUGGGGACCAGUCUCAGCGUCUACGGGCAGCCCCCUACCAGCUUGCAAAGCCGAUGAUGGCUGAUGAGCACACGGCACCUCCCUGCCUCCUCCUCUGCCGUCACUUCUCUCAGACGGGCUCUUCUGCCUUUGUCCUCCUCUUCUGGGGUUCAUGCCAUUCCGCUGGGCCACCUAAGUAACCCAGGAUCACCUCCCCAGUCAAGGUCAUGAACUGACUCACACCUCCACAGUCCCUUUUGCCAUGGAAGGCAGCAGGUUCACAGCUUAGGGCCGAGGGCACAGACUUCUUCACGGGCGGUUAUCUGGGAGAUCACAGCGAGGAAGCAGAGAUGUGUAGACCUUCGCCCAAGUCAGAUGGGCUGACCCCAGCAUAAAUAGUUCCUUCCAAAGUGAGAAAGGGGGCCAGGCACGGUGGCUCAUGCCUGUAAUCCCAGCACUUUGGGAG
rnacentral:lncRNA from 10 species